AUGAAUUGGACGGGGGGUUCAAGGAACCGGUUAGUAAUGAAAAACGACGCCAAAAAGCAGAAGGAGUAUUUCGAGAGGAGGAAAAUGCAACAGAGAUUGAGGAAAAUGGGACUUACUCUGCCAACGACUCCUGGAAGCACCAGUUCUAGUAGUAUGGACCUGGUGACCUUGUUCAUAGUCAACCAGAUUGCUGCUAAGAAAGAAAAUAAAGAUCCUCCUAAAGUCGCGGUCCUUGGUAGCUGUAAAGGAAGAUCUCAGUACAAGAGAAAUGCGCCCCUGGUACUCCCAAUGAGCCCCUGCUCUCCGUCACAGCUGGAUUUUGUUGAGAGCCAACCUCAGUACAGCGUCCAAGCAACAGGAAAGAACAAGCAUGUCAUUCCACGAGGGUUCAGGUGUCGACAGCUGUCACCAGUGCUGGAGUCAGCUUUCUCAGACAACAGUGCAUCUGACUACCUGCCACCCAUAACUGACCCCCUCAGCCCCUUCUCCUCCACGUCAUCAGCUUCCUCAGGACAAGGAAUGUUCCCCCAGCUGAAUCCGCAACAGAGAAGCCAGAUGCGGACACAACUACCUCCUCACUGCUCCCCUCGACCCUGGGACACCUCAGGGCUGGAGCAGACCAAGUUUCAGCCUUUCUCCCAGCCCAGAGGUAUGACAGACAGUGUCCCCUGGUCUUAUGGAUCUAACACAACCCUCUACCAACUUGAGACACCCACAGCAGCCAAUGUCCUGUUUGGAAGUUCAGAGCCAGAUAACACAGACAAUAGGAACCAUGCAAGACAGGAGGUCACCUUCUCUCUCGACCAACCAGAGGACAGGGAGCAAAUGUUGGACUUCACUUUCAACCAAUCAGAAACUGAGUCGCAGAUUGAGGGGGAUGUCUUUAGGGGCUUCAGCACUGAAGAAAGUGAAGCAGCUUCUCCAUUUGGGAGAGUGGCAUCAAAGAUACAUCUCAAAGAUGAAACACCAGUAAAAUCCUCAACACCACAAACUGUCCCGGACUCACAGUGCAUGAGAGUGGAGCUCUCCAACUGCACUGACACAAACUUUUCAUUUCUUGAACACAACAAUGGCCCGAUGAAUGGCUGCAACUGCUCGCCAAGUUACUCUUGUAGCGGAGGUUACCUCAGUUCAGAUUCAAAUGAUGAAGAAGAAUACUGUCAGCCAAGCCACCAGGCUGCCUCUUCAUAUGUGGACCAAGCCUGUAGUGUAGAUAAGCCAAACCCAAACCGGAGCUUGCAGGAGAAUCCAAAUCAAAGUCACACUCAGCCCAAGCUUCUCACCCCAGUCCUAAAACCCCAGAUUUCAGGAAGUAAUAACCAACAAAUGGGAAGCCACGUAGCUCAGUUGAACUCUCAUCAGGCUCUGGCUGAGACUCUGAGCUCACAGUUGUGCAAAUGCAAGAAAACACCCACUGAAACUCGAGAUGCGGGAACUCAAACUGCUGACAACCCCACAGCUGAGACAUGUGAUGCAUCUACUCAGUACAGCUUUGUUGGAGACACUGCAACCAAAGUCACUGGGUCUAACUUGUGCCUGCCACCUGUUGAUGUGUCAGUGCAGCAUACAGCCACAGGGAGGCAGACCGACACUGCCGCAGAGUCAGAUACACACACACCUUCACCAGGCGAGAGACCCAUAAACCCCUUUCAAGAUGCUCUGAGCAAGACCAAGCAGAGAGCGUGCAGAAAUGAGAGAGGGCAAGAAGAAAAUGGCUGUCUGAUGAAAGACCCCUCCAGCGAAGUGAGGGAAGAGGUCUUAGCUGCCACCGAAGUUAGCAGACACUCAGAAGAGGCCGCGACACUUCAGGAAAUAGCUAACAUUUUGCUCCUGCUCAAACAGAGGGAGAAGUAG
rnacentral:lncRNA from 1 species